rnacentral:rRNA from 1 species
GAUGAACGCUGGCGGCGUGCCUAAUACAUGCAAGUCGAGCGAACAGACGAGGAGCUUGCUCCUCUUACGUUAGCGGCGGACGGGUGAGUAACACUUGGAUAACCUACCUAUAAGACUGGGAUAACUUCGGGAAACCGGAGCUAAUACCGGAUAAUAUUUUUAACCGCAUGGUUCAAUAGUGAAAGACGGUUUUGCUGUCACUUAUAGAUGGAUCCGCGCCGCAUUAGCUAGUUGGUAAGGUAACGGCUUACCAAGGCAACGAUGCGUAGCCGACCUGAGAGGGUGAUCGGCCACACUGGAACUGAGACACGGUCCAGACUCCUACGGGAGGCAGCAGUAGGGAAUCUUCCGCAAUGGGCGAAAGCCUGACGGAGCAACGCCGCGUGAGUGAUGAAGGUCUUCGGAUCGUAAAACUCUGUUAUUAGGGAAGAACAAAUGUGUAAGUAACUAUGCACGUCUUGACGGUACCUAAUCAGAAAGCCACGGCUAACUACGUG